rnacentral:rRNA from 1 species
GACAGAGGGUGCAAACGUUGUUCGGAAUUACUGGGCGUAAAGAGUGUGUAGGCGGUGCUCUAAGUUCGGUGUGAAAUCUCCCGGCUUAACUGGAAGGGUGCGCCGGAAACUGGAGUGCUCGAGCGUGGGAGAGGAAAGCGGAAUUCCUGGUGUAGCGGUGAAAUGCGUAGAUAUCAGGAGGAACACCUGCGGUGUAGACGGCUUUCUGGACCAUUGCUGACGCUGAGACACGAAAGCGUGGGUAGCAAACAGG